rnacentral:sRNA from 1 species
GAUAGAAUUCUGAAACAUAACUUU